AAGACCUGGCUAUACAUUCCACUCCAGAAAGAACACAGCCCUCCCAUUCCCUGUAUUGUGAAAGGGUGAGGCAAAGGAUUGGCAACCACUGUCUCCAUAUUCCUGUCCAGUACUGGCACACGUGACACACCAGAGAUGUGAUUAUGAAAGUGACUGUGGGGUUUGUAAACAUACUGUGUGGGGGACAUCCUGUGGGAUCUGUGGGCUGAGAGAGAGAGAGAGAGAGAGAGAGAGAGAGAGAGAGAGAGAGAGAGAGAGAGAGAGAGAGAGAGAGAGAGAGAGAGAGAGAGAGAGAGAGAGAGAGAGAGAGAGAGAGAGAGAGAGAGAGAGGGGGGCAGCCUUCAGAUGAAAAAUACAAAGCUCAGUUGUUGCAGGAUUUAAUGGAUAUGUUGCCAUUGUUUCUAUUCCCUGGCAACUGAGGUGAAUUGAAUCAAAUGGUGAUGAUAAAUCCAUUCUCUCCUGCAAAGUUUUGAUGCUUUCUGUAUUCCACUUGACACAGUGCUACCUCUUUGCUGCUUUUCAAUGACCCUCCCAAAUGCUGAAAAUGAUGUGUCUCUUAGUGGUGUGGAAGGUGUGGUGUUGAGUGCAAGGUGAAGGUGAGGUGAGGUGAGGAUCAGCCAUGAAGCAGGUGUGGUGAGCCUAGUGCUGCUGCUGUUGCUGCUGCUGCUGCUGCUGGUGGUGGAAGCUCUAAUAUGAGUGGUGAGGAACAGUGACCUGGCAAUGAAUUACUUGACUCUUUAGCCAUGUUAACUACGGGAGCUUGACUUGGCAAUGAAUUAAUUGUUAGAUCAUCUACUCCCAAAAUAUGGUUUCAGUAAGCACUACCCAGCAGCAUCCACCACUGCACCACAGUUUCUAGUCAAGCCAAGGCCCCAGAGAGAGGCUGCACUGCUCACCUCUGCC